AUUGAACGCUGGCGGCAGGCCUAACACAUGCAAGUCGAGCGGAUGACGGGAGCUUGCUCCUUGAUUCAGCGGCGGACGGGUGAGUAAUGCCUAGGAAUCUGCCUGGUAGUGGGGGACAACGUUUCGAAAGGAACGCUAAUACCGAAUACGUCCUACGGGAGAAAGCAGGGGACCUUCGGGCCUUGCGCUAUCAGAUGAGCCUAGGUCGGGUUAGCUAGUUGGUGGGGUAAUGGCUCACCAAGGCGACGAUCCGUAACUGGUCUGAGAGGAUGAUCAGUCACACUUGAACUGAGACACGGUCCAGACUCCUACGGGAGGCAGCAGUGGGGAAUAUUGGACAAUGGGCGAAAGCCUGAUCCAGCCAUGCCGCGUGUGUGAAGAAGGUCUUCGGAUUGUAAAGCACUUUAAGUUGGGAGGAAGGGCAGUAAGUUAAUACCUUGCUGUUUUGACGUUACCGACAGAAUAAGCACCGGCUAACUCUGUGCCAGCAGCCGCGGUAA
rnacentral:rRNA from 1 species